GUGCUCGCUUCGGCAGCACAUAUGCUGAAAUUGGAACGACAGAGAAAAGAUUAACAUGGACCCUGUGCAAGGAUGACAUGCACAUUCGUGAAGCAUUCCAUAUAUAU
ensembl:snRNA U6 U6 spliceosomal RNA